CUGCUAUAGCACCUAGAUCUGCUAGAGAAACCUAGAGUACUGCCUGCAGUUCUGAUGCCCACAAGGGGGAUGGAGAGGGAGAAAGGGAGGAACAUCCAUUCAUACAUGGAAAUUGUGAAAAGCUCUGAAAGCAAAGCUCCUCUGGCACUCCAGUUAUGCGUAAGGAAUAUUACUGAUCCUUCUCCUGACACUUUCUGGACAAACAAUGCAGCACUCUGGCCUGAGAGAACACUCAUCCUUGUUUGAUUUGUGACUUAUACUGCUGCCAGCUGGAAGGUUCCUCUGCCUGCCCAUGGAGGUGCUGGGAAAGGGCCUGCUGGGCUGUCCCUGGAUGUCAGGAGUGAUGCUCCUACGCAAGAGACUGGCCUUGAUCUCUGCAGGGGACACCUGAGGUGCAGCAACAAAAAAUCACUCGUCUACCCACAGGUUCUGCCCUUCUGCUCAUUUACAGCUGCUGGCUCAACUGGGAAUUUCAAGACUGAAUUAGUGCUAAUAUGUUUCAAAGGCAAAGCUGCAUUUUUAAACUUCUUGUUGAACUUAAUUUUAAUUUUAAUGUUUUCACUGCAAUUUUUUUCCUGUUUUCAGGGUUUUCCCUCUUCCUCAUGCAUUAAUUUCUGUUAAGUUAAAGACACAAACACUUCUGGAGAAAAAGACAUGCAUACAUAAAAUCAUAAACUACACAGUCUAUUAGCAUAAAAAUCUGUUGAUGAAAUUUUUUAAUGACAUAAAUUCAGAAAACUUUGAUUGAUACUCUUGCUUCUUUUAUGAUUUAUAACA
rnacentral:lncRNA from 1 species